GCGCCCAUAGCUCAAUUGGAUAGAGCGUCGGUCUACGGAACCGAAGGUUGCAGGUUCGAGUCCUGCUGGGCGUACCA
rnacentral:tRNA from 1 species